ACGACCGCGUUGGAGGAUAUGAAUGCAUUGGAACCUUGACAUGUGUUUUACUGUGUUUCUCAUCACGAUAAUAGAAAAUCUAGUGCUCAAAUUCACAAUCUAAUGAACAUACAGCCAUACAAAAGAUGUCUUAAAGAGGUAUGCCUCCACUGACAAAGUGAAUUAAGUUGCCUACUCGAAAAGCAACUUUGCAAGGAAGCAAGUUUACUACCCACUGAAAUGUUCUCUUGGUACUUGAUGUGAUUAUGAAAUGAAACUGUCAUCCAUUAAAAUGUGAUAAAGAUAUUCCUGAUGGCGAUGAGUGAUGACUAACUUUCAAAACUACAAGAUGAACCCCUUCCACUUCUAGAAUGUGAAGAAUGCUGCCAUAUUACUGGCCCAUAUGAUCAUCAUGACAACUGUCUACCGUUGUCUACCCCGAUAUAAGGAAAAUUACAAACGUGUUGCUAAGCUUAAUAUUAGAUCAGUAGAAGCAGUUAGAAGAAUAAAGAAUGGUUCCGGAGUUUUACAAUGGCCGACUAAGUUUUG